CACCCCCCACUAGCCCAGCCAGCUGGACAUCCUCACUGGCCCAGGAUUCAGGACACUCCAACAGAGAACUCCAGGAUGUCCUAGGGACAGCUGAGCCUCAAGGAACUGAGGUCCCCAAGUCGCCAUCUGGAGGAGAAUCUCUCAAAAGUGCCAGUUGACCAGCAAUGUCCACAUUCAACUUCGUGUGAAGACAUUGGCGCUCAGAGACGUCAAUGAUUUACUGAGGCUCAUCCAGCCAGCACGCGGCAGAGCCACGAUUUCAGGCAGUCUGACCCCAGAGCCUGAGCUGGCCUCUCCCUUCUGUCCGCCAAACUGCACGGUCUCUCACAGCAGUUGAGAGGGCCAGACUCUCCAUUUCCAGGCAAGCUUAGAGACGCCUCUUUGCUGCCAGCUCAGAGAAGAUGGAAUCG